rnacentral:misc_RNA from 1 species
GUUUGAGAGGAGCGCGACGCAGUGCCGCUGGACAGGCCGGGAACCGGGCUGGAACGAAAUGUAGCGGAAAGGCGAAAGCCCCCAGCCGCCGCAGAACGAACCGGUCAAGGGACCUACGCCUCGGCCAGGCGACUGUGCAUGGCGGCGCGAACCGGGGCCUGAGGGCUUCGGGAUAGCGCGGCAGGGCAGGAGCGAAAGCCGGAUGCCGG